rnacentral:lncRNA from 1 species
UUAUUUGCUGAUCUUCCGUUCUUUUUUUGCCCGUCAUACCUUUCUCGCGUUCUUUUUCUCAGUUUCUUUUACCCUUAACUUCCUUUCUCUCGCUUUCAUAAUCCGAUAAUGAUGUUUAUUUUUUGCAAUACACUUUUUUUUUUAACAUUUCCGUCAUUAUCACCGUCAUUAUUAGUAAGCCUUGGAUGUUUUACCGUGUACUACUCCUUCUAAUAUAGUUGUUGCUCUCGGCAUUUUUUGUUAUUGUUGCCUCUUGCGCAAACUGUGUUUCGACAUGAAAUGUUAUCACACAUACGAUACUCUAGUGCCUAGGUUGGUGAAAAAAGAUAUAUGUACGUGUGUGUAUCUCAACCCCGCCGGUGCGUGUCAAGCUUCCAGUGUGUAACGAUCAUCAUUAUCAUAUUCAAAGUAAUUGUAAUUUUUUUCGCGUAACAUUUUUUAGGUUAUCGUAAUCUGUAUCAUUUUUUGCUUUUGUGACGCUCGCACUCGUGUCUUUAUCGACCACGCAACUCUGCUAUCUGCAAUGUUCCGUGUACUCAUUUAAUGUAUAGUUAUUAAUUAUCCAGGAUGUGUAUAAUAUGUGCUUAUAUAUAAUAUAUGGAUUAUCAUUGGCGUAUCUGAUCCAAAUAUUGCUUCUCCGUAUGUUCCGCUUCUAACGCUAUCUAACUAGAUUCCGACAAGAAUUAUGAAAAUACGAUAAAAUUGUACUAGCCCAUUUUUUCUGUUCUGCAGAGGGACCAAAACAACCGAGACAGCUUCGUUUGCAAAAACAAAAUCUCCUAAUUACAUUUUAGUUUCCACAUUACUGGCCACGGAUGGUAUGGUCAUGCUCAUAUUGUUACGUGUCGUUUCAAGAUAGGGUCAAAACUCUUCAAACUACCAAACUGCUCCUUGCAGCGGUACCAAGCAAGAGCAUGUAUGUAUACGUUGGUCGUAAACGUAUCGAUGUCUAUAAACAUGUGUGUGUUUACUGGGUCGAGCUCGUCCCAAGCAAAAUACAAAUAAGGUAAGAUUACGGUUCCAUUUGGUGGCCUCCAUGACGCAAAAGCCCCAUCACAACUCCUCCACGCGUAACCUUAUCAUAUCAUUGAAGUUCUCGAUCGGCUUUACGUACGCAAAUCACCAAACAGUUUCGGCCAAACUUAGUCGAUGCUACCGCACACGAAAUUGCAGAACAUUGGCGUGGUAAAGUAGACAUAUUGAUUUCGAUACUCGAGCUAGCUGGUCCGACCAUUUCGAAACGUACGCUCCCUUUUCUAAUUUAUAGAUCUGUCGCUACGUAAUUAUAUCUCGGCUUUCAGUCUUUCGUUCGAUACUAGGGUAUAUUUGUGUUUUAUAUAGUCGGCUUGCCGAAUAUCGUUUCCCUUUCUAUGAUCGAAAGACCGCUUCCUUCGCUCCAUAACGCCUGUAAAAGUGGCACUGCUCCUUCGAAGUAUGCCAUUUUCCAGCAGCGUACGAAGCGCCACCUGUCUUGUUAGCGCGACAACGAUUCAAGAUCUCCGAGAUGUGAUAUUGUGUUGCAGCAUGUAGAACUGUCGAAAACCAUUUUUUCUAAUCUACUUAUGAAAGUGCUUGAUAAUAGUUAUCAUUGUAUUAUGAGCACGAUAGAAGGAAUACAAGGAGGAAAAAUAACGCAAGGUAACAAAGCACAACUUCCGGAGUGCACUCAUCUGUUUGCCACAAAUCAGCGGCUUUUCUGAUAACAACUUCUCUGUCUUCAUCGAUUUUCGCUCGCGAAAGCACUAUUCUGUUUCGGGCUUACCCGAACCAAUUUCUUAUCGUGACCCUCGGUAACGUCUCGUCCUAUAAAUUUAGUUAGUAAUCAUACUGUAUAGCAACCGUCACCACUCGAUCAUUGAUACAUGACAUAAUCUGCAAUAUAUCCUUCUUCGACUCAAGGCCGUCGGCCAUAAAAAUAUUUCCGAAAUGACUAGAUUGUUUUUUCCUCAUAUCAAUCUUCUCUAAUACAUAGUGUUCUGCCUAUAUAGAGACCUCUAUAUAUAUAUGCAAGCGCUGUUGUUUGUGACUCGACUACUUUCGAAGUUAAUUUUCUUUAGCUGCAUAACUAUGAGGAUCACCAUUAUACUUUUUACUAAUUUCUGUUAGUUUCUUUUUACAAUCUGAGAUACAUUUGAAGUCGUUUCUGCUCUGGCUCUUCUUGCUAUUACUCAGUAAGUAGAGACUGUUAUCGUGUCGCUGGGCUUACCCUCGCCACCCACUCAGCCACCCAUCCACCCACUCAUUCACGUCAUUCAUCGCUUUGCGUUCGGCAUUCACUAUGUUUUGUUCUUGCUGAUACUCGUGCUAGAACGGGGGCGUCCCUAUUUUUUUUUUCUAGUGUCUGCAACCUCUUCAUGCUGUAAUAAUUAAUAGCGAUGUUGCUUCUUUAUAUAUAUUCAUCCUGUAAUGCUUGAUUUUAUCGCUUCCUCUUUCGUCGUGUUUACGACAAAUGUUGGGUAGCUUUGUCUGCAUGAAGGGGAAACUUAUAUCUAGUGCCGUCAAUACAACCAGCGUGACGGUGCUUUAAAAUUUUCGUUGAUGCUGUGCUAUCAGUUGAUAUUCCUAAUCGCCCUACGCUUGCCUCAACACAAUAUUGAAAAGAUCAUGUAUAUAUAUAUGUGUGUGUGUGUGUGUGUGUGUGCAUAUACAUGUAAACACUAGCGCUCGACUUUAACGUUUCGCCAUUUUCGAUGACAUACCUAACAUUAGGUGUAGAUGCAUUACCAUUGGAUUUCUAGAAGUUGGUAUUUACAGAAGUAUUUAUGUGUAUUGUAGAUUAUCACUUAAAUUUCGCCAGUGGUUAUAAAAUUUUGUGCCGGGUAGGCUUAGAUAUGCCGAGGGUAUCGAAAUCCCUGAAAGAAUACCACCACCGAGAUACGAGCCACUGGUAAAAUGCCGUCCACGUUCGCACCAUUGUCAUCCUAACACCCUUCGAAAUAGGAAAGAUUUUGAUUUAUUUUGAACGACGAUGUAGAGGGCGCGCAUUUACUUGACAGGCAAUUGUGUCCUUAACUGUUCAUGCUGAAAGUAACAUAUCCUAGCAUUAUGCAUGCUAUUAUAAGCCAUAGACGCACGCAUGCCUUAUUGCUAGGUAGCAUAAACGAACUUGGCAAAAAAUCCGUGAGCACAGACUGCAUACGCCCGUUGGUAGAGUUUCUCACGAUCCACUCUACAGUCGGUGAGCAAGGUUUAGGCGCGAUCGCUUUCCGAAAACAAUACACGUUUAAGUAGAUUUCCAACACAGGGCGGAUUUCUGCGUAGAUCGUACGUUAUCGAGUCGGCUUACGUAUAAUACGUGUAGUAAUAGCCUGUCGACAGACUCCUAUGGUUCGCCCUCAAUGGUUUACCAUCAAACCUUAUGGACAAAUAUUAUUUAGAAGCUGGCGUGGGUACAUCCGGACAGGCCUAAAUGGCCGACUCAACGGCCAUUUCCUCUUAAUUCAUCUCUAGUUUCUCACAUGCUUACCUUCGUUCUCCCCGAGAUUACAGCCUCACGUAAUUACGGCAUUGCUGCUUUCAAACGCACACUGCAUUUGGGCUAUAAGUAAAUAAGCCAUUGAUACGAAAAACACAGUGACAGCAGUUACAAUGUACGCGAGAUCUUGCAUUUUUCUUCGUUCGUUUCGCCUGCUGUUGCUAUCGCUGAACUGAGCGUUACAAAGCGCUGCGCUUCGUUUGUUACUUGACAGACUUCGGCAGGAAAUGGCGAAGGCACGCCGACGUCCAACCGUUGUUAGCAUCUGCCAACAAUUGCUAGAAGCUACGAAAAGAUGGACGAAGGAACUCGCAUUGCUCAUCAAUAUUCUCCACUAUUCUACGUUCUUCCCAGCGCCACACCCUAACAACCAGGCAAACCUCGGCGCCCAGCAACCAAUCCAUUGAAGACAGGAAAAUAUCGAUUUGUGGCGUCAUCUAGCCAAUGUCGGCACCUCCCCAUCUACCCGGCGUGAUCUUCCUUACUCUCAAAACGCUUAACUCUCAGUAGCGUCGGGAACUCGAGCAGCAACGAUCGCAGCGCUUCUCAUAACGCCAGAAAUGGCAGAAGCUAUUCACAUUCAAAUUUCUAUAUUAGAUUUUUCGGUCCGCUUUUGCAAGCGUCUCUCUAGAGCUGGUACUAACGCCAUCGUUACUGCUCGUACGGCCUCAACAUUGGCGAAUUCUGGCAAAAAUCAUUGCGGCUGCUGGUGCUGCCAUUACUGCCGUCUCCCAUCCCAUACAGCUGAGAGCCAAGUCCGACGGAGUGGUUAUGACUGGAGUCAGUCCCUGUUUUAAAAUAAUGAGUCGUUGUUGUUGACCGACGGAGGCUUCUCGUUUGCGCUUUCCUUCUCUCCGGCAUGGCUGGGUCCUCUGGCGCUUUGCUGCCAUCUUUGCGUCCCUUUUGGGGCGCUCUCGGCGGCCAGUCGAUCACUGCCGGGUUCACGCUUCAGACUGACUAAAGACACCGACACAAACGUUACCGUGGUAUGCCAUCACACAUCUUCUCACUACUCCCAGGAUAAUCCCUUAACCAUUUACCAGCCCGAUAGCCUUAUGCAGACACACUUCGUCGCCUGCUGCAUCACUUUGUUGCCUUUGUAACUAUCGUGGCACCACCGCUAAUCUAAUCAUCGACUGGUAGUUAUAAUAACUCAAAUCGUGCAGCCUUAGACACUUCCGGUCAUCAGCGGCAAUGUGCACGGAAAGCCGAGCGUAACAAUGUACAAAAGCCGUAAAGCAAAACGCACUAAGCAUGGGCAAUACAGAAUAUUAGAAACUUAAAGCAGAAAAGCGGAAUUAUUCCGCGAUUCUGAUACAUUAGUCUAUUGCCAGUUGUUUUCCACAUUAUACAGUUUUACGUCUCGCUGGCGACAAACCGAUUGCCGAAAAUGUUAUAAUAAUUGCCGGAUUAGCUAUAGUGUACUAUCUAAACGCGCCGCACCUUGAAAGUUUGCCGACAGAUAGAUGGACGAAUGAGUAAAAGAUUAGCUGGCCUAAUAUUAUAAUCCUACUUUGCCUUUUCUCUAUAAUACUGUCGUGUGUUUUUAAUCGCGUGAGCGGCGUACCUUGCGUGGCCUGGAGAAGCCCGCUGAGAAAGCGGUGAUUAAUCAGCAAUGAGCAUUGUCCAACUAACAACGGUUCACCUACGGAUCCAUAUCUAGCGUCGAUCCGUCCUUUUCGUUUCCCUAGCUUAGGCUGAAGGGCAGAUGAAUAAAGAUGCGAGAAGCUGUGUGUUGCAACAGAAUGAGCGAGCGACGCUUUGUGGGCAGAUCCCUUUGUCCGAGUCCAAAGAUCUCCACCCGUCCCAUUUUCCCGUCCCUACCACAAAAGCCACCUGCGUGCCCUCUGCUAGUGGGAAUAGAACUGGUAGCUUUCAAAGCUAACUACACCGUGAGCUACUCUAUGUUUCGAUGGAGUUCCUUCUAGACGAAAAGAUGCAUUGAUCUGAUAGUAACUGGUUGUUACGUCAGUGUCUACCUAGCAUGUCUCCCGGGAUCCAAAGAAACCGUAUGAGUGCUAUGGCGACACUUUUCGCCGUGGUGAUUGGCGACAUUCAGGAAUUCGUUGUUAAGUUCCGAGUUUAACUGAUAAUGAACCCUCUAGGUUAUACCUCGAGUUCUGCAAAAGCAGCUGGAAAUAGUGUUAAAGAAGGCCCUCAUCAGUUUCUUGUAUCAACAUUUACAACGGUCUUCGUGUUUGUGAGUUUAUGUAGAACUCCUCGGUCGCAUCGUCAUUGUUGGAGUAAACAGCAUUUGCGAGCUUCGACGUCGCAGUUGUCGCUUGCUAUGUUAGCACAUACGGGUGGCGUCUACGUUUCCGGGUAAGAAGAUAGAAUAAGAAUUAAAUGAAGACAUACUAGGACAUAUUGCAAGGGACAGCAGGACCACCUAUACCGAAUACGUGUUAGUUCUCCUGCAAAAAUCUGAGAUUGUAGUCUAAUUCUAAUUCACAAACAUAGCGUCACUUGACGGUCCACUGUUCACUGUUGUUAUCUGUUUUAUUCAACGGAAUAGGUUUAUAGCUGAUCAAGAGUUCAGAACCGCAAGAGAUGGCGCUUAAAGAUGUGUCCACGAUGUAGGUACAUCUUUUUUUUUGGAAAUGUUUCCUUUGUCUUGACAAAACAACGCAUCUGUGUUGAGAUAUAUUCACGCUGCUCGUCCCUACGAUCAGCGUUUUUCUUUGCUAAAUAGAGAGAGAGACGAAAGUAAAAAAUUGUGUUAUUCUCUAAGUUUCAGCCCUACCAUGUGUAAGGAUAGAAUUAUCCAGCCUGCUUAGAGACCAAAAUGUUCCGCUUUCAUAGGAAUACAUUAAGCGCAUGUAGCCAAUCAAUCAGUCUCCUGCUAUCGCCUAUUUGUUCCCUGCUGAUAGCAUAGUUCAAUUUCAUUUCACCACCUUUUACGUGGUCUUCAUUGUUGAGAUCAUUUGAGAAAAGUGUCGUUAAUGUUUGUGAUUUUAAUAUUGUAGCAUUUUCUUGGAUACGUUUUCAACAAUGGAAAGUCUAUGUCCGUGUUCUACAAUGCUCAAUUCGAUCUUCGACCAAAUCUAUCUGCAACAGCUAUUUUCUGUGUGCCCCACUGUGUAUAUAUCUGCACAGUGAACUGAGGCGUUCCUCUGAUGCCCUUAUUAUGUCCACAUCGCCGAAUCUAUAUAUAAUCAUACCUUGUUUCUCCGUCGUACGUAAUUCCCCUUUGACUCGCGUUAGAUUCGCCGUUAUAUCGUAGCGUCAUUAGCGUGUUGUUUUUUCUACUGUGAAGGGGUGUGCUACCAUGACAGUCUUCGUAAUACCCAAAUGUUUAAAUAGGAGCAAUUUUCUCUUGCCUAUUAAAAAGUUACAUCAAUUGAGUUAUCUCUUCCUUUUCAUCUCCUGGUAAGUAACGUGCAUAGCAGAUGCGUUGUAGUCCGUUCUCUUCAUAUUUAUAUAUAUUCGCCGUAUUGUAUGUCAAUUGUGAUCUCCGUUGAUAAAUGUUGGUGGUUCACCACAAUGACUCUCGCACCCCCGCCUCCUCUUUUUCAGCCUCUCUUGUCUAUUGAUCAUUGAUGCCAAUCUGCGCAACUUUUGUCGGCGACUGUCACCCGUUUUCGCGCUGGAGCUGUUGGCCUUCUCUAUCUCAAUUUUUGGCGUCUCCUUGAUUCUCCGCCAUUCUGUCAGGAAGCUAGGCAAGAUCUUUGGAUGUAGCUUCAAAGUGCGACACCUUCAGCCAAUAUAAAAUGCAUUUUCUUCUGCCGCUCGUUUUGCCUGGCUCCUGUGGCCUGAGGUCCGCCGUCCUUUUUCCACGGUCAACUCAAACAUGGCGUGUGUUUAUGUUAGAAAUGAACGUUGCGAAAAGCUUUAGCGACUCGAAUUUUUAUUUGUUAUCAUGAAGAUAACAUACGCGUUAAGGUACGUGGUCGAACGAUUUUCUUCCCACUUGCCCCUUGCGGCGCAUAGCGUUACUUCGGAACCGGGGACCUGCGACAAUGGACGAACGAGCUUUGUUUGUGUGGCCGGAAGUCCCCGAAAGCAGUCUAAAUGGCGUCGUUCAAUUCGAAGUUCGGGUCCUCGAAUCCCGACGG